rnacentral:rRNA from 1 species
GAUGAACGCUGGCGGCGUGCCUAAUACAUGCAAGUCGAGCGAACAGACGAGGAGCUUGCUCCUCUGACGUUAGCGGCGGACGGGUGAGUAACACGUGGAUAACCUACCUAUAAGACUGGGAUAACUUCGGGAAACCGGAGCUAAUACCGGAUAAUAUAUUGAACCGCAUGGUUCAAUAGUGAAAGACGGUUUUGCUGUCACUUAUAGAUGGAUCCGCGCCGCAUUAGCUAGUUGGUAAGGUAACGGCUUACCAAGGCAACGAUGCGUAGCCGACCUGAGAGGGUGAUCGGCCACACUGGAACUGAGACACGGUCCAGACUCCUGCGGGAGGCAGCAGUAGGGAAUCUUCCGCAAUGGGCGGAAACUUGGCGGAGCAGCGCCGCGUGAGUGAUGAAGGUCUUCGGAUCGUAAAACUCUGUUAUUAGGGAAGAACAAAUGUGUAAGUAACUAUGCACGUCUUGACGGUACCUAAUCAGAAAGCCACGGCUAACUACGUG